UCUUCUUUAUUCUCUCUUCUUUCUUCUCUCUGAGACUUUCUUCUUCUCUACCUAUCACUAUCAGUCUUCUUCUUUAUUCUCUCUUCUUUCUUCUCUCUGCGUCUUCUUUCUUCUUCUUUUUUUGUUUUCAAUUAACAUUUUCUUCUUUCUUCUUCUCUACUAAAGGGGGAUGGAUGUAUCAACCGUCCAUUCACUUGUCUAUUGAAGGGGCACUUCAGAGUUCCCUCUUCUACUGGCAACACCAGAAUUUCCGACAUCCAAAGCUGGAAUUCGACGAAAUCAGGACAUGCAUGUAUUUGAUAGCCUUUCGCAUCAAUGUCUAGGCUAUUCAGAUGCAGAUUGGGGAGGAAACUUGAAAGAUCGAAAAACUACAUUUGGUGGCUGCUUCUUUGUGGGAAACAACAUGGUGGCCUGACAUAGCAAGAAGCAAAACUGCAUAUCCCUUUCCACAGCUGAAGCAGAGUAUGUGGCUGCAGGUAGCUGUUAUACUCAAAUGUUAUGGAUGAAGCAAAUGCUUCGUGACUACAAAAUCUCACAAGGUAAGUUGACCAUUUUUUGUGAUAACUCAAGUGCCAUCAAUAUUUCCAAGAAUCCAGUGCAACACUCCCGCACUAAGCAUAUGUCAUAAGAUAUCACUUUAUCCGAGAUUUGGUUGAGAAAGAUAUACUUGAACUUGCAUUUGUUCC